GGGCCCGCACAAGUGGUGGAGCAUGUGGUUUAAUUCGAUGCAACGCGAAGAACCUUACCAACCCUUGAAAUCUAGCGAAGUUCACAGAGAUGAGAAUGUGCCUUCGGGAACGCUAUGACAGGUGUUGCAUGGCUGUCGUCAGCUCGUGUCGUGAGAUGUAUGGUUAAGUCCAGUAACGAGCGCAACCCCUAUCCUUAUUUGCCAGCGCGUUAAGGCGGGAACUAUAGGGAGACUGCCGGGUGAAACCCGGAGGAAGGCGGGGACGAGGUCAAGUCAUCAUGGCCCUUAUGGGUUGGGCUACACACGUGCUACAAUGGGAAGUACAGAGGGAUGCGAAAGCGCGAGCUGGAGCCAAACCCUUAAAACUUUCUUAGUCCGGAUUGGAGUCUGCAACUCGACUCCAUGAAGUCGGAAUCACUAGUAAUCG
rnacentral:rRNA from 1 species